CUUGUGAAAUGCAUAUGAGUAUUCACUACCAGUCUCACACACACAAAUGAGAAAAGAGUAAUUAUGUCUUCUUUGAUAUUUCACUUUUAAAGGAAUGGAUAUGGACAGCAGUCACCCUAUGCGCUUGGUUGACAUAAAAUGAUUGUGUUUUAAAGCAAGCGAACUAAUCGAAUACAAUCACCAACCUACGCUUUCGUUUAUUCUUUUCCUUCUCGAUCAAUCGUUCCUUCUGGUUUAUCCUUCAUCAUCCAAUUUUAAGAUUAUAAGAGAUGAAGAUCUUGAAGAGUUAAAGGAGCUUAGCUACAAUAUAUAUGAGACAGUUUACCAUGGAAAUUUGAGGGGAACUGAUGUGGCAACUAAGCAAAUAAAAAGAGCUGUUUUGCAGCUCGAUUAUAUGAACAAGACAAAUUGGUUGUUGUGGUUGCUGUUAUGACAUGGUUGGGAUGCUAUUUUUUCUACGUUCCUCUAGAAAUAUCAUAUUCAUCUUUCAUCUUGCCGUGAUGUGACGAUAUCAGAGUUGGUUGCAGAGACAAAGCCUCGGCUGAUGACAGAGUGUAAAUGACAGAGCUGGUAAUACGAGUUUCUUCCAUUGCGAAAAGUGUGGAUCAUGCUUUGAUGUAAAGUUGUGUGGUAAUCACACAUGUAUUGGAAACUCUAAGAAAACCCACUGCCCUACAUGUUAUGAGGUAUGACAUUAAUGGUGGCAAGAUUGGCAGGUAAGAAAUGGGUCAAUGUUACCUUCGUUUAUCAUUAUAAUUGUGUAUUAUCCCAGUUAUAAGUUAUAUCAUCUACUUUUGAUAAAAACAAGCAUGUCAUCUUAAUUCAUAAAAAAGUUUAAAAAGCAUUGUUUAUUCCCAUGUGAUGUGAUACCUGGUCCUAAAAUUACUUAUGAGGAAGUGUGGUUAUCAAUUGAGAUUGAGAUUGUUGAAUUAUAAACAUAUGCAGAGGUCAGUCAAAUGUCAAGCCGAUUUACAUCAGAAUCUCACGUAUACGCUGAUAAGCAAAAGAUCUAAAUCGCCAGUUUGGUUUGUUUAAAUUACAAUAAUAUAUAUCACUAUCAGAUGCGGCAACAUGGCUUGCUUUGUGGAUAAUUUGUAUAUAUAAUCAUCCGGUUGGUCAGUUUUUACUCCAUUAAAACUCUGUUGAUAAUUUGAUGCUACUAUUUAUACACAAUGCGCAUUGCUAGGACUAUAUAUUAUUGAGUUAUGAUGCAUUUAUUGUUAUUUUAAUCAGGGGUUUGAUCCUCUCCCAAUAGGGCUCUUGAAAUCUGCAUUAUAUUGUGUUCUUUUUAUCUCGAUUCGAAUAGGGAUUUUAUCGUUUUGCAUGUGUUCGUUUUUUUCCUUUUUUUUGCAUUGUUUGUCCGUAGGAUGGAGUUUUUGCACACGAAACAUAUGAGUAUGGUUCUGUUUGUUGUUUCUUGCUCAUGGGUAUGGCAUCUAAAAUGCUUGCUUACUGUACAAAACUACCAAAUCAUUAAUUGUUCAAUAAAAUAAAAUUCACUUUAAUUAUUUAAUGUUUCGAUUCUUUUAUAUAGAAGAGUUGACUAGAAGCCUAUUUAAACCGUUUAAUGUUUAGGUAGUUUACAAAUAAUUUGAAGCAUGUUUUGGUGGAUGUUGAAUAUUUUAAAUGUGCUGCAAUACUAAACCAACUAUUCUUUCAAUGUUCUUUAAAACUAUAGAAUGUGGCACUUUUAGAUGUCAUUUGAGGAUUAUUAGUUGCAUGUCUUUUACAAUUUCUUUACAAUCAAUAUGAUAUUUGGUAAGAAUCCAUCCAGUUAAAAUAUGGCUACCUUCUCUGGUUGAUAAUUUCAUAAAUGCACCUGCUUAAAAGCCUUGACGGGGCGAACUCGAAGUAAUUCGUCUCCAUGUCUGAAUGUUUUUUGUGAUUGAUAAUACCAGAUUUCAUCGCUAGCAUUUGUGUGUUUACUCUUGUGAUUGAGAAUACCAAUUUUACAAACUGACCAUGUUGGUUUGGGUCAGAGCAUGCUUGGACAAAAUGCUUAUUAUCAUUGGACAUUUCCUUUUCUGACACUAAUAGGUCGUUUGAGGGAAAGUAUAUCUUCCACCAAUUAUUUCUAUUCUAUAAGCCAUCCUCACCCAAUUUUACUCUAUAAGUCAUCUUCACCUAAAAGUAUUUGUUGUGUUAAUGUGGCUGGUCACUUUUUUAUGAUUUUUCUUUUUCAAGUGGUUUACUUUUGAAUAUAUUGGCCACAUCAUCAACAAUUCUUGAUUAGUAUUUGAGAAAAAAGACAUGAUGGGUUUUUGAUAGGAUUCACAUCAGUUCUUAUCAUUGUAGGUGAUUUCGAUAGGAUUCACAUCAGUUCUUAUCAUUGUAGGUGCAUCAGUUCUUUGAGAGAUAUUUAUCUUAUUAUUCACAAUGUACACUUUGGUUAUUUAUUAUUGUAGGUGCCUCAUCAACAAUCUGGUAAUUGGCUAAUGUUUCAGCUCAAAGUUUCACGGUUUUGGGAUUACCAUAUCCGGUUCGGAGGAGGUGUCGAACCGAAUGGUGGAGAAUACUAUGUCGAGUAUGAUCAACUGGGUAGCAUACACUCAUUGAGUCAUCUUCGAAUCAACAAGGUGGUAAGUCUCUUUCAGACAAAGAUCCCUUGGAACAGAAAGUUUAAUGUUGCAGGUUUAAUCUCAUUUAUUGUAUGUCAGUACUUUUCAUUUUUACCAUUCCACCCGUGCUUAACACGCUAAUGGUGGACAGUGGGAUUAUGUUCCUUCUUAUGUUGCUUCUCUUAAAGAAGGAUUUCCACUUCAGAGAUGAUUGGCAGCUUGAGACAUGAGAUGAAUCAAGUCUACAUUUGAGGGAGUUCUGGUGAUCCAUUCAGCAGGCAUCAUGCUUCUUCCUCACACGAUGCAUCUAUGAGGGAAGAUCAUGUUAACCAAUAUAGAAGAUCUGAGUCAUUAUAUGCAAAUGGUUCAAGGUACUCCCACUAUGCACAUGGUGGGACAUCAUCAGCUGAUGGACUGCACACACCAGAUCAUUUCUCAUCCAUAAAUUAAUUAGGCAUAGCUCUGUAGGAAGGUGGCGUAGUAGUUACACGAGUCAGAGGGCCAAGGAUAGUUGCUAAAAUAUUUCCACCAAUAAAUAAAUACCAUGAUAGAAUGGGACAUCAUGAGGUAUGUAAUCCUUUUGUACCUUUAAAAAGGUGCGCGCUGUUAUUUUUAUAGUAAUAAUUAGCAUAACUAAUUUAAAGUUGAAUCAUUGUCUACAUAGACCAUUACGAUGGUGGAUCAAACACCCUUUUGUGGUCGAGCACGGCGGGACGAACUUCCUUUCGAAUUUUUUUCUGUAUUUUAGGCUUGCUAAUGUGCCAAGAUAGGUAUUAGUACAUGUGGCAAUAUGCACGGGUUGGGUAACGGGUCCAAGCGACAGGUCAAAACCGGUUGAAAAAACGUUUGUCCAAGCGAUAGUUCAGUGAAGUAUUCGUUCAUUGAUCUACUCAUACAAUAGAGUUUUUACUUGGAGCAGUGUCAAAUGCAGCUUCACACCUUCGUUUAUGGGCACUCAGAUGAGGCGAAACAAUCAAACGUUGCAUGAUAGCAUCAAAGGCGAAAUAAGGGUAUCAUAUUUUAACCAAAAUUUUAAUUCGAUCCGAAAAAAUCUCAAGGCAAAAAGAGAUAAAAGAAAACAAGGGGUUAACCCAGAGAGAAAUACAAAGAGGAAGCUUAGAGUUGCUGCCAAACAAAAGUGAACAAAAAAAAAGGAAAACAAAGACUAUGAAGUUUGGAAAAAGAUGGGUAAAUUAAUAAUUUGUCUUCGAAUUUUGUUUUUCGAGUGUAACAAAUUACUAUUUUAUUGUUAUUGUAUAAGUUAUUAUUUAAAAGGA